AAGUGGAGCAAUCCAUGAGUAAAGUGGCGACCGGGUGAGUAACACGUGACUAACCUACCUUCGAGUGGGGGAUAACCUAGGGAAACCUGGGCUAAUACCGCAUAAUAUCUUUGGAGUGGAAAUUCUGGAGAUCAAAAGAGCAAUUUGCUUGAAGAGGGGGUCGCGGCUGAUUAGCUAGUUGGCGGGGUAAUGGCCCACCAAGGCUUUGAUCGGUAGCCGGCCUGAGAGGGCGCACGGCCACACUGGAACUGAAACACGGUCCAGACUCCUACGGGAGGCAGCAGUGGGGAAUUUUGCGCAAUGGGGGAAACCCUGACGCAGCAACGCCGCGUGGAGGAUGAAGUCCCUUGGG
rnacentral:rRNA from 1 species